UACAAAAAAAGGACAUAUUGU
rnacentral:piRNA from 1 species